GCCGCACGCUGAGUCCUCCAAGGAGAUGGAAGCUGCUGUUCAACGAGGAGGGUUGUCUAGACGCAGCUGGAAUGAUCAUGAGAGUACAACGUGGGGUGAGCUAUAUCUAUCUAUCUUUCAUCACCAGCAGCGUAAUUAGCUCAGUGACAUAUUGUAUCGAUCUCACACCCCGGGUAGGGUAAAUGUCAUGUAUCAUGUGUGACAACACCUGCAGUCAAACUGCUACAAAUAACAUUCAGGACAGUUGACAGUUCUUUUUGAAAAAGGGUCUGGGCAGUAGACACUGUUACAUAUACAGCCGAUAGAUAAUUAUUCAUGAGAAAUAAAACUUGUAGGAAUUUGCUUGGUUCAGAGCAUAUUUCGACAUUCUGGCUCCAUCAGUUUGUUUCUCCAACUGAUACAAGAUUCAGUGGGAAUACUCUGAAUCAUGCUUGCUUGAUUGGUGGUAAAUACACUGCCACGUAGCCCACUCCAUUGUAUUCUCAUCAGUGACACUUCUUUACUUCCUGGAGGUGCAUCCCUUCACACUGUUUUCUACCCUUUCAACAACUAUCCAUUUUCUUGGCUUUUGUUAGUAUCCCUUGGGGCAUAUAUACUGCCUCUAUGCACAUGUUGCGACUGCUCAGAUUAAUUGAACCAGGAUGUUGUCUUUAUUUUGGUUAUGCGAACAGGGUGUCCACCCAAAUAUCAAAGGGGAAGUCUGGGAGUUUUUGCUGGGUUGUUACGACCCUAAAAGCACUACUGAACAGAGGAACCAGUUGCGGCAACAGAGAAUGUUCUGUUUUAUUUCACUCUUCAUUUGCAUCUUACUUUCGUCCUCUCAUCUAAGUCCAUUUUCAUCUCAUUACAGUUUCACUUUCCAUUACGAUGCAUAAUUUUUACAAUCUAGCAAAGCACUCACCAAUCACCUUUUUUUGUCCUGAUUUUUGCAAGAGUGGCUACUUUAAACAUAUACUAGGAUAUGGACUGGACGACUGGCUGCAGGGAGUAGUGUAUGAUGCGUAUGCUACAACAGCCAUAUUCAUGCAUUGCUUCACUUAUCUUAUUUUUACCAAAGAUUGUCUAUACUUUUCUGUGUGAUUCCUUGCUUCAGAAAUAUAAGAGGCAUCCGAUGUUAGGAAAGAAAGGAGAUGGUCUUGGUCAGUUGCACUGAAGCAUGGGAAGGAUGCAGGUGAGGCGGUGGAGAAGGACACCGACGUUGCCGAGGUUGUUGUAGCAGCGACACUCGAGAACGCUCAAGGGAAGAGUAGACGCGCCUGGGUGUCUGGGUGACUCUGACCACUGGUGAGUUUUUGCUCCUACCAUUCUGACACACCAUGUGUACAGUUUGUGCUUGCCUAGAAAUUUUGCCCUAAUAAACAACAAAAUUAUCUCCAAUCAUGUGUUGUAUCUUCUACCAUCUUCCAUAUUUUUUACAUGACUAGCCACUUAGCAUUACUAUUCAUAUUUUAUUUGUAAAUGUAUGCAAAGCUAGAAGCUUGAGGCUAUCUUCUGAACCAAAAUGACCACAUUGACUACCUAUGUUAAAUCUUAUACUAAGCUAAUGUCAAUAGUGAUAAGCUCAUGCAAUUGUUCAUCCUACUUGCAUUGGAUAAUAUUCUUCUCCAGAGUUCGCUUCUUUUUUUUGAACCAAAAAUGAUUAUCUUCAUAUUUCGCCUCUUUUCUAAACCAAAAUGAUUAUCUUCUUCAGAUUUCCUCCAUGAGCCACUGUAGCACCUUUUAUGUUGUGACACUCCUACAUAUUCAUGGUAGUUGCCAACCUGCAUCCUACAUAUUCAUUUAUCUGUUUGUUUGUAAGAUUGCAUAAUUUUGUGGAUGAGGAUCAGCUGCUUGUUUGCUUGUACUACCACACGAGUAUGUGCAGACGAUGAGGGCGUCAAUGUUCAAGAGGUGCCCAGUCUCCUCAUACGAGUACGUCCGCGGAGUUUUCAAAGAAAGAGAUUGGAGAAUUGCCACAAACUGUUAGUUCCUUGAUUGCAGUACUGCAUUUUUGUACACCCUGCUGAAGUAACUUGGUUGCUGUAUUGAUUAGUAAAACCACACACUGAGCAUGCUUAGUUCAGUUGUUGGCCAACGGAGUAUUCACCUUCAAUCAGAACAUGGAUUUAUGCUCAGCUUGUUUUUAGUUUAGAAGAAACUCUGACAUAGUUGGAUUUCACCCUAUUCACGGCGGUGUAGGUUUUUGCAGAAUUCGACCCUGUCCCAGUUGCAAGUGCUUCUCCUGCGCAAGUCCAUGCCGCCACAACAUAUGAUGGGGAAAAAGUCGCUGUCAAGGUUGUUGUUAUAUAAGAAAAAGACUGCAGGUUCAACACGACCACUUGAUGGAUACUUCUGUAAUAGAUAUGGCUACAGUGGAUUUAGUACUGAAUGCUCGUCAUUAUUUUCCCAACAUUUAACUACAGGUACAACAAGUCAAUGGGAGCAACUAUUCUUUGUUUAUUACCUUGUUCUCUGUCUCUUUUUAAACAUACUACCUCGAAAGCUUUUAGGCUAAUGAUGAUUUGUAGAAUUAGUUAUGAUAGAGAGAAGGACACCGAUCUGCAUGGUUUGAAAAUACCAAUGAAAUGAGGGUAUGCUUCCUAACACAUCUGUUAGUAUUCAGUGAUUCCAACAGGUCACGGACUUUCCAUGCUCUCAGAUAGCAACAUUAUUUAUUCAACGGUGAUGUGAUUUUAUCCAUCUGAAGAUUGUGUUAUCAUUGGUUUAAAUCCGUGUGAUAUUACACAUGUAGCUUGCUGGGUAUAUUUUACAAUAGUUACUUUUCGAAAUUUCUUAGAGAUUAUAAAUGGGACAGCAGACAACAUUGCAGAUACGUCGCAGCUGGGCACCAUGAUCAUUACUCCCAUAUCUCCCUUUUAUGUUAUUAAUAUAUACAUGUAGGUUUCCUUUUUGUUAAUUUUUGGAAAUCAUAAAAUAGUAUUAGAUAUUAUAGUUGUACUGUAAUUUGCAAGGUUUCUGUUGACUGUGUACAAACAGAUAGAAUCUAAUUCAAGUGACUUUGAUUAAUUUCCUUUUCCAAGUUAUUGUUGGGCCAGAUAUUUACCUCUAUAAAAUAUUUCUUUCCACUUCUCUUUUGCUCACAGGAAAUCUGGUCCAAGCCCGACCGCAGUGUUAUAUAAGGAUGUUGGAGGCAGCAUCGGAAGAGACAAGUCUGCAUUAAAGUUGUCCAACCUUUACUGUUAUAUGAAACAUAUGUUUUCUUAGCGUUUUCUAAGCAUUGUCUGGUCAUCUAUUGACUUAUCAUCCUAUCUUUUAUAAAUCAUGGAAUUUUUAAAGUUCGAAAAGUGCAUAAAUGAGCUAUUUCACUUUACAGUGAGAGAUGGAUGGAGUGCUUGUGACACAGAAAGCCUCUUUCGUGGAUCUAAUAACACAAAUAUUUUUCCAGUAUUUCUUUAAAUCUGGCAACAUUUUUGGAUCGCCACCAAGAAAAUAAAUUGGCACAAGCUUACUAACAUAGAGUUGCAGGUCAGCGUGCACUAAAAAUAUUUAAAUUUAGAGGAAUGUUUCCGAGAUAGUUUAGGCGUUAUUUUUUUGGUCAUGUUUUUUGGAAAAUACCUUUUAGUCAUGCUUGCUUUUCUACUGCUUGUUGAAAAUUAAAAAAAUAGGAUCAGGUUGUACGUGAUAGAAUAUAUGCCUAGAAAAUGAAAAGGAUAAUAGAUUCCCAAGUACUAGAACUGUCAUACCAUUCCAGGAAGUUACUUCUUGAUGUCAUUCCAGGAAAUAGAAGGAUCAAUAGAAUGUUCUUGAUGAUCAUUUUAGGUGUUCUUUUAGGCAGCAACAACAAAUAGCAGGGGCUUCAUCUUAGCACUGAUCAAUAGGAGCAUGUUCGAACUAUUGCAUAGGUAAAAUCAUUUCUUCACGACGACUUCUCUUACGCUUCUAGGGAAUCUGGUCCAAACUCCACAUCGCUGUCACCGAACAAAGUUGGAGGCACAAUUGAAAGAGACCAGCCAGAUUCUUCUUCCGGUUAUUAAAAAGAAAAUCUGUCUCGAGAUUUCAUGGCAUGUCAUUUGAUUUAUCUUUGCUCGUGUUCUUAUUGUGUCUGAUGUCAUGAUUGACAUUUAUUUCAUAAUUACCAUAUACUUCGACACAUCAUAUGUUUUGCUUUAUUUAUGGACAACAAGAUACGUUUACUUAUUGUUAUA